UGUGGAAAUACUUUCGUGAAUUAAGUCAUUACAUUUGAAACAAGAGUGUAAAAGUCAUUUCAAUAUUUCAUUCAUUCCAUUGUAUUUCGUAGAAUCCUAAAUGUAUUUGUUCAAUAUUUAAAUAUCAAAUGUAGAUUAAAACUUAAAUUUGGUUUUCUUUUUCUGUGAAUUAACUAGUAUCCAAACAGGGUGCAGUAUGUGUGGCUUGAUUAGUAACAUUUUUGGUUGUAAACCUUGUUUAAAUGUAGGUAUUCAAAGAGGCUGAUACAGGCUGUUGAGGAUGAUGGAUUGGUGAACCAUGCUUUGGUGCGGGAUCUAGAUGAAGAUGCAAAGCGGUUGGAACAGUUUGGUGCUGAACUUGAAGUUGAUUGAGUGUGUAGUAAUCAUAUAAAUUUAAAUGGUGUUCAGCUUAGAUUUAAAUGAUACAGCAAUUCAUAAGCUUAUAUAGCUUUAUGAAAUUUGUAAGGUUUUUCCGUAGUUUAAAGUUACACUCUUUUAAUUCAUAAAUUUUUAAGAAAAGGUUUACUGAACCCUUUUUUUUGUUUCUAUUUUAUCCAAAAAAAAUGUGAGAAAAUAUUUUGAACUUUUAAAUGGAGCAAAUUGAAGAACUUUAUUGCAAUUUGGGUAGAAUAAUGAACCUAUUAUUUCUUGAGAGCAACAAGUUAUAUAUUUUUUUAAUUUUAAAUUUACAGUGCGUGUAAAGAGACUUUUUUAAUUUAUGUUUUUACAUGAUGCAUUGCUCUUCGCAUUUUAGCAUUGCUUCUUCUUCGC
rnacentral:lncRNA from 1 species